GGUGUUCUACUUCACACACUCAGCCUGCCUAACUAGAGUUUAAGUCCAGUUUUCAAUUAUAAUGGUGAUGGUCUUUGAAAGAACUAAUGUAGUUAGUGUUCUGAACUGCAUUUCAGGUUUUAAGCUAAGUUUCGUUCCUUUACGAUGAAGGCAAGGAAUCAGUUACUAAUUCAACUCAUUGGCAUAUACCUAAAGCAGAUCUCUAUAGCCAAACAUGAAUUUCUGUAUAAUGAUGAUUUUCAGGACAUGCUCAUAAGCAUGUAUGUGAAACAAGGAGAGAAUAGAAUUUUCUUUACAUGCAAACUUCUAUGUUGUUAACCUUCUUUCUUCAGGGAAAAGAGAGAUCUUGGGAUUGAUGUGUAUUCUUAGAAAACUGCUGUGCGUAGCAAGACUUCUGAAAAUAUAUAGCUUGUGUGCAGUGUGUUUAUUUUGUUUUGCUUUUUCACUAAAUACUUUAUUAUUACUAAUGAAAGAAAGAUACUUAUUGUUAUUGUACAUUUUACUGUUUCAUUUUGAAGAAAUUCAUUUUUCUAAAGCUUAAAAAAUGAAAUCUUUAAAAGAUUAUUUUCAAGGACUAGGAAAUAUAGUUUUGAAGUAAUAAUGGUUCUAAACUAGAUGUAAUAUAUGGCUUCUAAGUUUUAUAUUAUAAAGUAUUUCUAGUAUCCUAGUUACUUUAAUGUUUAUGAAUAUAUUAUGUUCUAGAAGCCACUUAUAUUGACUUCAGUAUACUUGUUAAAGAGCUGAGCUGGGACUGAGCUUGAUAGUCCAUGCUUUCAAUCUCAGCUUUCAAUCUCAGCACUCGGAAGGCAGAGACAGGCCAAUCUCUGUGAGUCUGAGGCGAGCCUGGCUUACACAGUGAAUUCCAGGCCAGCUGAGGCUAUAAAGUAAGACAUUGUCCUUUCUGCUCAUCCACAGAAAAGAGCUAAGCCCAGUAAAGUUUGGCUUUUAUCCAAGUCAUAUUUGGUGGCCAGUGGCAGAAGUUGUAUAAAAAGUGAUUUCUCUUUAUUUUAAGACAGGGUCUCUUCAUGUCACCUAGGAUGUCCUAGAACUCAUUAGAUAUCCAUUUGCCCAGGCUGGCUUCAAAAUUGCUACCCUUCUGCUUUAGAAUCCUGGGUGCUGGAAUGGUAGGAGUAUGUCAUAAUGCCAGAUAAAAUAAUACUGUUUUAACACUCAUACUUGGAAAAUAAUCAAAAUUAAGUAUAAAUAUAUGUGUAAAAUUUGUUCUUUUUAGUCUUUCUAAGUAUAUGAGUUUUGACAAAUGUGCAAUCAUGUAACCAGGAUUUCGUUAACACCCUUGUGCCUUUUUCACUCAUGUUUUAGUUUUGGGUUUUGCCUUUAUUUAGGUCUUGGUCCAUUGAGUCAAGUUCUACAUAGCGUGUGAGAAGGAGUGAAUGCAAUUUGUCUUGAUUUUCUUCUCUAAUUAUUUCUUUCUUUUUUCCCUUGAAUAUCUAGUUACUUGAGUAUCAUUUAUGGAAUUGCCUUUGUUGAAAAAAAUAUAUAUAAAAUGCCUGAACUUUUUUUCAUUUCAUUGAUCUAAAUGUUUACAAAUCUUACAAAUUUUAAAUUAGUGUGGUUAAGACAUAGCACUGUUAUCAGUAUUUCUCUACUUAUCUAAUUAUUGACACGGAAAAAAUACAAAGAAGGGCUGAUGAAAUGGCUCAGUGGAUAAAGCAAUUGCUGCUAAGCCUGAGUGAUGACCUGAGUUCAAUCCCCAGGACCCACAGGGUGGAAGGGGAGAAGAAAGUCCUGCAAGUUGUCUACUGACUCCCACACAUGCUCUGUGGUGAGUGCAUGAUGCCAUACCACAAAUAAUAAAUAAAUAAAUGUAAAAAAUUAAGGUGAAAAGCAACUCUAUGUAUUUUCUGUAUGUAUUUUACUUUUAAAAAUGCCUUAGGCAACCAUAAUUCAUUGACAGUGCUGUGGAUAUCGUUCUGUAUAAAUAAAACACUGAUUGGCCAGUGGCCAGGCAGGAAGUAGGUAGGACAAGGAGAGAGGAGAAUUCUGGGAAGUGGAAGGCUGAGUCAGAGAGACUGCUGGAGCUGCCACCAGGACAAGGAAGAUGUAAGGUAACAAUAAGCCACGAGCCAUAUAGCAAAGUAUAGAUUAAUAGAAAUGGGCUAAAUAUAAGAGUAAGAGCUAGACAAUGAUAGGCCUGAGCUAAUGGCCAAGCAUUUUAAAUAAUGUAAGUCUGUGUGUUUAUUUUAUAAGUGGGCUCCAGGACUCGUGGGACUUGGUGGGACAUUUAAAUCUCAGAGCUAAAAUAAAGAGAUUAUACUCGGAUUAACACCUUCCAUACCUUUUUAAGUACCUUCUGUACUUAUAUCCUAAAACUAAUUAUGUUGCCAGAAUAAUGAAAUGAAAACGUUAACAUGUUUAAACUUGUCAUCUGAAAACCUUUCUGAUAUUACAGUGAAAUUAUUUAUGCCAUCCUUGUCAUAGGUUGUCACAGUCCAAUAAUUAAAUAUCAGUUUCUAGAAAAAUCUGUUUCAACAUUAAGAAUAUUUAAGAAUAAAACAUAACUGAGAGAGCAGAGAUGUAUCUUUGAACUUCUGAUAAAUGAUUCUUUGUUUUUAUCUUUGUUGUCUAAAUGAGUUUGAGUUGCAAAAAUGUGCAUCAAAAUUGGAGGGACUCCUACUUCUCCCUUGCCUAUAUCUGAAGCAUUGUUUCUUUGUGGUUUUUGACAAGACUUGUAUUAUACCAGGUGCUUGACUUCUGCCUUAGUUAAGGUUUCUAUUGCUGAGCAGAGACACCAUGACCAUAGCAACUCUUAUAAAGGAAAACAUUUAAUUGAGGUGGUGGACUACAGUUUUAGAUGUUUAAUCCAUUAUCAUCAUGGUGGGAGCAUGGUGGCUGGGAGUAUGGUAGCAUGCAGGCAGACAUGGUGCUGGAGAAGUAGCAGAGAAUUCUACAUCUUGAUCUGAAGGCAAGAGGAAGUGGUCUGUCUCACUGGGCAUGACUUGAGCAUAAGUGAGACCUCAAAGCCCACCUCCACAGUGACACACUUCCUCCAACAAGACCACACCUAGUCUAACAAGCCACACCUCCUAACAGUGUCAUUCCCUUUGGGGGCCAUUUUCUUUCAAACCACCACAGCUCUAAACUAAUCCCUACCUCAUGCUUUACUUAGCUAUAGAUAAGAUUUUUGUCUCUAUUGUUGUUGGUAGUGCAGAGAGCUAGGGAUAGAGCACCCCUACUAAACACUGGGGUUUUCCUUAUACUGCCAAAGGUUCUCAAUCACUCUGGACAUUACCAUAACUGAGGGAAGAAAAGAUACGGGAGGAUUUCUGUUCCCUUCUCCAGCGACUCUUUAAACUAUUAUUGGGUAGCAACAGAAGCUACCAUUUUUAAUGGCCUUGAAAACCUUCAUCUCUGCCUUGACAAAACGAACACAAUUUUAUAUAGUUGUUUUCUUUUGUAGUUUCUGGCAUUUCACGCUUUUCUCAGAUAAAAAGGUAUUUAAAUGUAUUGGAUUUAAUGCCUUUUUAAAAAAUCUAAGCACAGAAGAUCUGUCUUGUUAUGAAAAUGCUGAAUGGUGAAAUGGAGAAGGGUAAUAUAAUCUGAAGUCACUCUAACAGAUCUAAUGACAUAGAACAGCAGUUCCCAACCUGUGAGUGCCAACCCCUUUGGGGCCCAAAUGAUCCUUUCACAGAGGUUGCAUGUCAGAUAUCUUUCAUAUCAGAUAUUUACAUUAUGAUUCUUAAGAGUAGCAAAAUUACAGUUAUGAAGUAACAAAAUAAUUUUAUGCUUGGGGGUCACCACAACAUGCAGAACUGUAUUAAAGGGUUGCAGCAUUAGGAAAUGUUGAGAAGUAUUGAAAUAGAAUCUUAUGAAUACCACAAAAAUAAGGUAGGAUCAGGAGUUCAGUUUGAUUAUGUUGUGUCCUCACAGUCAUUUCCACAAAUAUUCCAAAAGUGCUGUAAGCAAAUUAAAUGUCAUUAAAUUAACCAUUUUUUUCAUCUACAUCUGUCACCAAAUCUAUACCAACAUUGUAAUUUGUAAGCCACUAACCAGUAGCCUGGAUUUUUCUGAAUAAAAGAAAAAUACAGGGGAAGGAAUCCCUAUUCAGUAAUAUAUUAUGAACUAUUUUGUUACCCCUGGGGAGUGAAAAGGACACCUUCUCAAAAUUGGUUUCAGAUGUUGAUAUUAGUGACACCACACACACACACCAAGAAGGUAUAAAAAACUUUAUUACUUACAUAAUUAGUUCUGGAGAAAGCAAAGCAGGCAUUCCAAGCAAAUCUGAAAUGGCUCAAGAAAAGCAGGAAAGGAGCACCUAGAUUUUCUCAGCUUGUCCAGGUAUGGGGCAAAGGGAUAGAGAAGGGAAAACUCAAAUGCAGAUAGCAGUCAAAAGUAAAAAACUAGUAGUCUCUCUUUUUCUGAGCAGUCUCAUUUACAUAUCCAUAGGCUCCUCUAAUGGUGAGAGAUGAGAAAAGGAUUCACUCCUUCAUAGGUUUUAUUCAUAAUCAUAAGCAGCUCUGCAAUCCAGCUAGACUUAGAAGGAAAUGAGUACUCCUCUCAGCUACAGAAGAAAUGGUCUGGUUGUUGGGAUGAACACAAGUCAAAAUAUUAAGAGAGAACAAAACUUCUCUUCUGUCUUUGGAAAUUGGUCUGCAAACAGCUCAAAGAAGAUGCAACAACCCAAAGGAUGUGUUUGGAGUUUACAAUGGAAUUACUGGGUAAAAGAACUGCCCUUGUAAUCUUGCAACGUAUUUCCAAGUUCUUUUCCUGUUUGGAGUUUGCUGUCUGUGACUGGUUGGCUCCAUAGCUUUGGGGCCUGUGGUGAGACAACACAUCCAUGCUGAGAAUGAGAAGUGGAGUGAAACCAUUCAACUCCUGGUUAGGAAGCAAAGUGAAAGAAGGGGAAGGACCCAAAUCCUACAUUGAGGCAAUACUCUCCAUGACCUGACAGCCUUCCAGAGACCUCACCUAUUACAAAUUCCACCUUUUCCUCAUAGUGCCUACUGGGGACCAAGACUUCAGCACAUAGGGAUUUCAGAGAGAUUCCAGACCCAACUUCUAGCUCCACAGAAUGCUUCUAAAAUCAUGUGUGUCCAUGCAUCUGUUGAAGAAGCUGAGAACCAGUGGUCUAGAUGGACUUACAGUUCCAACUGCAAAAUCUCAGUCUCCUCAGUCCUAAUUAUGGCUAGCAGUCUAUUAAUGUAUCUUAAGGGUAUUUCAUUUCUGUUUUCAUUUUUUUAUAUUUAUUUUAUUUUAUGUGUAUGAGUGUUUUGCCUACAUGUAUGUAUGUGCAGCACAUGUGUACCUGGUACCCAUGGAGGGCAGAAGAGGAGGAGUCACUCCUGAAACUAGAGUAAUGGAUGGUUGUGAGGUACUGUGUAAGUGCUGGAAAUCAAACCCAAGUCCUGUUUGAGAACAAGUGCUUAACUGCUGAGACAUCUCUGCGAUCCCAAGUUUUAAGUUUUUACAUUUUAUUUUUAUUUUUGGAUUUUUGAGAGAGUCUCACUAUGUAGUCCAGGCUUUCCUGGAACUCUCAGGCCUACCCUAGUCUCUCUGAUGAAUGGUAGGACUGUAAGUGUAUACUGCCACAAACUGUUUUAAUUAGUAGAUCUUUAAAUGAG